rnacentral:rRNA from 1 species
GACGAACGCUGGCGGCGUGCUUAACACAUGCAAGUCGAACGGAAAGGCCCUGCUUUUGUGGGGUGCUCGAGUGGCGAACGGGUGAGUAACACGUGAGUAACCUGCCCUUGACUUUGGGAUAACUUCAGGAAACUGGGGCUAAUACCGGAUAGGAGCUCCUGCUGCAUGGUGGGGGUUGGAAAGUUUCGGCGGUUGGGGAUGGACUCGCGGCUUAUCAGCUUGUUGGUGGGGUAGUGGCUUACCAAGGCUUUGACGGGUAGCCGGCCUGAGAGGGUGACCGGCCACAUGGGGACUGAGAUACGGCCCAGACUCCUACGGGAGGCAGCAGUGGGGAAUAUUGCACAAUGGGCGGAAGCCUGAUGCAGCAACGCCGCGUGCGGGAUGACGGCCUUCGGGUUGUAAACCGCUUUCGCCUGUGACGAAGCGUGAGUGACGGUAAUGGGUAAAGAAGCACCGGCUAACCACGU